rnacentral:rRNA from 2 species
CUCAGGAUGAACGCUGGCGGCGUGCCUAAUACAUGCAAGUCGAGCGAACAGAUGAGAAGCUUGCUUCUCUGAUGUUAGCGGCGGACGGGUGAGUAACACGUGGGUAACCUACCUAUAAGACUGGGAUAACUCCGGGAAACCGGGGCUAAUACCGGAUAAUAUUUUGAACCGCAUGGUUCAAUAGUGAAAGACGGUUUCGGCUGUCACUUAUAGAUGGACCCGCGCCGUAUUAGCUAGUUGGUAAGGUAACGGCUUACCAAGGCGACGAUACGUAGCCGACCUGAGAGGGUGAUCGGCCACACUGGAACUGAGACACGGUCCAGACUCCUACGGGAGGCAGCAGUAGGGAAUCUUCCGCAAUGGGCGAAAGCCUGACGGAGCAACGCCGCGUGAGUGAUGAAGGUCUUCGGAUCGUAAAACUCUGUUGUUAGGGAAGAACAAAUUUGUUAGUAACUGAACAAGUCUUGACGGUACCUAACCAGAAAGCCACGGCUAACUACGUGCCAGCAGCCGCGGUAAUACGUAGGUGGCAAGCGUUAUCCGGAAUUAUUGGGCGUAAAGCGCGCGUAGGCGGUUUCUUAAGUCUGAUGUGAAAGCCCACGGCUCAACCGUGGAGGGUCAUUGGAAACUGGGAAACUUGAGUGCAGAAGAGGAGAGUGGAAUUCCAUGUGUAGCGGUGAAAUGCGCAGAGAUAUGGAGGAACACCAGUGGCGAAGGCGGCUCUCUGGUCUGUAACUGACGCUGAUGUGCGAAAGCGUGGGGAUCAAACAGG